AGGAUGAACGCUGGCGGUCUGCUUAACACAUGCAAGUCGAACGGAGUACCUCGGUACUUAGUGGCGGACGGGUGAGUAACGCGUGAGAAUCUGCCCUUAGGUCGGGGACAACCAUUGGAAACGAUGGCUAAUACCGGAUAAGCCGAGAGGUAAAAGAUUAAUUGCCUAGGGAAGAGCUCGCGUCUGAUUAGCUAGUUGGUGAGGUAAAGGCUCACCAAGGCAUCGAUCAGUAGCUGGUCUGAGAGGAUGAUCAGCCACACUGGGACUGAGACACGGCCCAGACUCCUACGGGAGGCAGCAGUGGGGAAUUUUCCGCAAUGGGCGAAAGCCUGACGGAGCAAGACCGCGUGAGGGAGGAAGGCUCUUGGGUUGUAAACCUCUUUUCUUGGGGAAGAACAAAAUGACGGUACCCAAGGAAUCAGCAUCGGCUAACUCCGCGCUAGCAGCCGC
rnacentral:rRNA from 1 species